rnacentral:rRNA from 1 species
UACGGGGGGGGGCAAGCGUUUGUUCGGAAUUACUGGGCGUAAAGGGCUCGUAGGCGGCCAACUAAGUCGGAUGUGAAAUCCCCAAGCUUAACUUGGGAACUGCAUCCGAUACUGGAUGGCUUGAAUCCGGGAGAGGGAUGCAGAAUUCCAGGUGUAGCGGUGAAAUGCGUAGAUAUCUGGAGGAAUACCGGUGGCGAAGGCGGCAUCCUGGACCGGCAUUGACGCUGAGGAGCGAAAGCUAGGGGAGCAAACAGG